GAUGAACGCUGGCGGCGUGCCUAAUACAUGCAAGUCGAGCGAACAGACGAGGAGCUUGCUUCUCUGUCGUUAGCGGCGGACGGGUGAGUAACACGUGGAUAACCUACCUAUAAGACUGGGAUAACUUCGGGAAACCGGAGCUAAUCCCGGAUAAUCUAUUGAACCGCAUGGUUCAAUAGUGAAAGACGGUUUUGCUGUCACUUAUAGAUGGAUCCGCGCCGCAUUAGCUAGUUGGUAAGGUAACGGCUUACCAAGGCGACGAUGCGUAGCCGACCUGAGAGGGUGAUCGGCCACACUGGAACUGAGACACGGUCCAGACUCCUACGGGAGGCAGCAGUAGGGAAUCGGCCGCAAUGGGCGAAAGCCUGACGGAGCAACGCCGCGUGAGUGAUGAAGGUCUUCGGAGCGUAAAACUCUGUUAUUAGGGAAGAACAAAUGUGUAAGUAGCUAUGCAGGUAUUGACGGUACCUAAUCAGAAAGCAACGGCUAACUACGUG
rnacentral:rRNA from 1 species